GAACAAUCAAAAUAUAAUUUUUCCCCAAGAUUUCAACUAAAACCCUGGAAGAUUCCAAUCGCUACGCAGCUUUGUGAUUGAAUUUAGAAAUGGAAAGGGGAUUAUUAUUGAUAACACUCCACUAAAGGUAGAAUUGCACUAGAGAAACCCAGUAAUGAGGCGUGGUGGUCAUCGUGGGCUUUGGUCCUAGUCCAUGUGUGGCUGGUCCAGGUUGGGAUACAUUGGUUCAGGUCUAAUGUGGUGUAGGUUGCAGGUGUUGGGUUUGGUUGGUAGUGGUGUUGUCAGGAUUUCGUGUCUCUUGAUCAAUCCUACUCUCCACUACACAACAACAUAUCUAGCAUGUCUUCCUUUUCUGUUGCAGCUCUAAUCUCAUCCCGUAAUAAUGGACAAAUUGGAAGCUUUAGCCUUGGCCACAGAGAAACCCAGGAAUGAUUUCAAUCUCAGUAAAGACUAACGGUGCAACACUUUGAUGCUCCCUUCCGGAUAAUGAGUUCCCCAUAAGCAAAAGUGUUGGGGAUAAAUUAACCCCGAGGACACGUUGAAACAUCUCGGUGCUACAUCUCGGAUAUUUGUUACGACCCAGUAGAAGAAGAUCGUCUAGGUAUGAUGACACAUCGGUCCUAUUGAACUCAGUAAUGAUAAUAAAUAUCCCGAGAUCUCCUAGUCCGAUCGGAGCGAACAUAUCUCAGAUAUUUAUGCCUCGUAAGAAGUUUUCAUCACAACCCGGUAUAAAAAGAUUACCUUGGUAUGGUAAUACCUCGGACUUUCUACAACCCUGUUACGAUGUGAUGAUAUUCCGAGAUCUUCUAGUCCGAUCGGAGCGAACAUGUCUCGGAUAUCAUCACCUCGGGGGUUGGUCAAAGUAUACUACAAUUGUCUUAGAGUAAGAUAAUGCCAGUAUCCCGGAAGACCAGGGAUAAGCCUCUAUCCCAUAAUCAACAGGAUAAGACUGCUAAUAACGUGGAAUUAAGAUUGAAGAGGCAGGAGUGCUAUCCAAUUUGAACUCUGUCGCCUUAUUCAAAUUCCUGAAGAUAAGGUUAAGAUUCGAACAAACUAGGAUUCAAACUCCUAGUUCAAUUGGGCUUCAAGAAUCCCAGUAGAACUGCAACUACAAGCCUAUAAAUAAGACCACUACGCCAGGUAUUAAAGAGAUAUUCUCUGAGCUUUUAAGAUUACAGAUAUUCUCCAGAAAAUUCCCCGAGUAGUCGUUUGUUAUUUUGCAAGGAUCGAGGUAGUUCUAUUAAGGGAUGAGGCGAAUCACCAGGCGAUACGUCACCAUACCGGAAACUGUACCAACAAGAAGCUUGCUCAACCUAGGAGUGAGAAUAGAUUUGACGAUGAUACAUGUCUGGUGGGAUGCUCCCACUGUGAUUUAUUUUAUUUUUUUCCUUUUUAGAUUGUAUUUUUAAAAUUUAUUUUUUAUAUUUUAAUUUAUAACACAAUACCAUAUAUUAUUUGAA